rnacentral:rRNA from 1 species
CUACGGGCCGCACCAGUGGGGAAUUUUGGACAAUGGGCGAAAGCCUGAUCCAGCCAUUCCGCGUGAGUGAUGAAGGCCUUCGGGUUGUAAAGCUCUUUCGGCCGGGAAGAAAUCGUGCAGGCUAAUAUCCUGCAUGGAUGACGGUACCGGACCAAGAAGCACCGGCUAACUACGUGCCAGCAGCCGCGGUAAUACGUAGGGUGCGAGCGUUAAUAGGAAUUACUGGGCGUAAAGCGUGCGCAGGCGGAUGUUUAAGCCAGAUGUGAAAUCCCCGGGCUUAACCUGGGAAUGGCAUUUGGAACUGGACAUCUAGAGUGUGUCAGAGGGGGGUGGAAUUCCACGUGUAGCAGUGAAAUGCGUAGAGAUGUGGAGGAACACCGAUGGCGAAGGCAGCCCCCUGGGAUAACACUGACGCUCAUGCACGAAAGCGUGGGGAGCAAACAGGAUUAGAUACCCUCGUAGUC